UACGUAGGGGGCAAGCGUUGUCCGGAUUCAUUGGGCGUAAAGAGCGUGUAGGCGGCCACACAGGUCUGCUGUGAAAACUCGAGGCUCAACCUCGAGCUGUCGGUGGAAACCGUGUGGCUAGAGUCCGGAAGAGGAGAGUGGAAUUCCCGGUGUAGCGGUGAAAUGCGCAGAUAUCGGGAAGAACACCCGUGGCGAAGGCGGCUCUCUGGGACGGUACUGACGCUGAGACGCGAAAGCGUGGGGAGCGAACAGG
rnacentral:rRNA from 1 species